UACGAAGGGGGCUAGCGUUGCUCGGAAUCACUGGGCGUAAAGCGCACGUAGGCGGCUUUCUAAGUCAGGGGUGAAAUCCUGGAGCUCAACUCCAGAACUGCCUUUGAUACUGGAGAGCUUGAGUCCGGAAGAGGUGAGUGGAACUCCGAGUGUAGAGGUGAAAUUCGUAGAUAUUCGGAAGAACACCAGUGGCGAAGGCGGCUCACUGGUCCGGUACUGACGCUGAUGUGUGAAAGCGUGGGGAGCAAACAGG
rnacentral:rRNA from 1 species